UGGGGAAUUUUGGACAAUGGGGGCAACCCUGAUCCAGCAAUGCCGCGUGAGUGAAGAAGGCCUUCGGGUUGUAAAGCUCUUUUGUCAGGGAAGAAAAGGCUGUGGCUAAUAUCCACAGCUGCUGACGGUACCUGAAGAAUAAGCACCGGCUAACUACGUGCCAGCAGCCGCGGUAAUACGUAGGGUGCAAGCGUUAAUCGGAAUUACUGGGCGUAAAGCGUGCGCAGGCGGUUUCGUAAGUCUGUCGUGAAAUCCCCGGGCUUAACCUGGGAAUGGCGAUGGAGACUGCGAGGCUAGAGUUUGGCAGAGGGGGGUAGAAUUCCACGUGUAGCAGUGAAAUGCGUAGAGAUGUGGAGGAACACCGAUGGCGAAGGCAGCCCCCUGGGUCAAAACUGACGCUCAUGCACGAAAGCGUGGGGAGCAAACAGGAUUAGAUACCCUGGUAGUCCACGCCCUAAACGAUGUCUACUAGUUGUUGGGUCUUAAUUGACUUAGUAACGCAGCUAACGCGUGAAGUAGACC
rnacentral:rRNA from 1 species